AUUAUUGUCUCUCUCACCACAGCCCUUCCCUUUUCCUAUGUUACUUCCCAUUUUCAGCCCUCCAUUACAAGUUUACAGAUCACAAGGUCACUGAAAUAAAUCACUAUGUGAAAAAAAACAGCUAUGAAAUAGUUGAAGAAUUUUCCUUCUAGUUUAAAGGAAAACCUGGAAAAUAUUUUCAUCUAUAUGUCUAGCAAUCUCCUUAUUCAACAACAUUUCACAACAGGGAGCUGUAUCAUUCAUUUUGGAAAAAACCUGUAUUUCCUUCUGCCUUGAGGACUUCGUUUAACAUUUGUCAGGCAAGGCUGCUGAUGGUGGUCAACCACAGUGUGCAAGUCAAUGGCAAGGAUGUGGCAUCCAACAGCUCCCUCAUCGCUGUGUGCAGCUCAAUGGAAAGGCUGUGUUUUGAUUUGCAAAAUGGCUAUGAUUUGCAAAAUGCAACAUCUGUUCCAAGUAAACAAAUAUUCCAAACCACCUCUUGAACUGGAAGUUUGGAUUCAGCAGCACUGCUUUCUGUCUUGUUUUUCCAGGUUCUUCAAGAAAUUUAUGCAGCACAGCUGAAGCCUCAUACAAGUGUAUCCAACACCGUGGCUGGAGGGAAAGAUAUCACGGUAUAAGCCAUAAAAUGUGACAUAGUAAGUAAGUAAAGGAGGAAAAGUGAGAAUUCUGUUACUCAUCUAAACGACCGCUUCCUUUUAAUAGUACCAAAUGAAGACCGAAAUACAGUAAUAAUUGAAAAGUUAGGGAGAAAUCUUAAAUUUUUUUAAGUCUCCACUUGAAAAUGCAGCUGAAACACGGAAAGUUUUUUGGCAGUGAAAUUCGCUGAAAACUGACAUUUUUAUGCCGCAUCCAGAGGUCCCUAUGCUCCAGGAAAGGUACCAAAAACAGCACGGAUGGGAUUUCACUACAGCCCUAUUGAUCCUAUGCACCAAAAGGCCAAAGGCAAAUAAACCAGUCCCAGAAUUAAAACAAAACAGGCUGGUUCAGAAAGCCUCACCGGCAGCCACCCAAAGUUGAAAGAAGAAAACUUAAUGAAAUACCUUAUUUCAUUGCAUAGAAUCACAAUUCAGUUAACAGGCUUAUUGUUUAAGCAGUGUAAAUACGCGAUUUAACACCUGCGGGCACUGCCUGCCGGGACUGGGCAGAAGCGUGCCCAGAGGACGGCGGGCGCCACACUGCACAGCCAGGAGACGAGACGCGAGCGAGGGGACCCGGAGAUACUGCCCCCGAGCCGCCGCGCGCCCCCAAAGGAGUAACGCUUCGCUUUCCAUCUGUCUGUCCAGCCUUCCUUUUGGGCCCUAUCCCCACCCCCGCGUACCUGCCGCCACCGCUGUCCUGCCUUCGAGAGGGCAGCUCCCACUGGAGAUCCAAGUACCUGCAGGUCCACUCUGCGGCUACCUCUCCGCGCCCGCGUAGCCGCUGCGCUCGCGCCACUGCGCAUGCUCGGCCGGCACCCGGGCCCGCAAACUCUGAAUCCACUUGCCGCGUUUUGCCUGCGGCUCCCAGGGGAGGGAAAGGGAAGCCCAGAACCUGGGUUUAGGCUAAGGGUGAAAGAGGAGUUGCAGGCGCUGGGAGCGUGGAUGGGGAGAGGUGGACGGGCGCUGCGGCAACGUUAUCUCUACCGCCCACAGUUACCCAAGUCUAAAGAUGACCACCUACACCCUGGGAAUGAGUUUAGCACAGCAGUUCUCAAACUUGAGCGUGGAUCAGAAUCACCUGGAGAGCUUUUUAAAUCACAGAUCCCAAACCCGGAAACUGAGUUUCCGAUUCAGUUAGGUCUGGAGCGUAGCGCGACAGUUCCCAUUUCUAACAUGUUCUCAGCGAAAACUGGUGCUACUAGUCUGGGUACCACACUUUGGGACCUGCUGGUCAAAAGGAAAGGUAUACGUUAUUAAAGGAAGACUUGUUUCUCUCCCCUA